rnacentral:lncRNA from 1 species
UAGAAGCCUCAAAAAGCUGCCGUGAGCUCAGCAACUCAAUGCCACGCUUGCUUAGAAUCUCUCUCUGGCUCUUCACAUCAACUCUUUCUCUGCGUUGACACUCCAGGCAGCUCAAACUCGCCAGGUCCAAAAGUGGCAACACUAUUUUAUUUCUUCUUUGGGAGUUUACAUGGGACUCCAACAUGAAACUAUGACCAGAAAAAGAACAAGACAAUAUCUUUCAUCAUGUAACUGCAUGUGCAGAAGAAAUGUCUUAUUGACACAGUUUUGACAAGAAGCAUUUUAAGAUAUUUGUGGAGGGGAAAGAAAACACAUCAGAUCCACUGAAGCACUGAAAGAUAUGAAACAGCAGAAAAGAAUGACUUCUCAAGCAAAACUCCAGGAGAUGCCAUAGAA